CGCUUCGCCCAGCAGAGGGCGGCCGAGCCCGCGUCCCUGGGCCGCCGCGCGUGGCCGUCUGUGCGAGGACGGGCGCGGGAGCAUCGGGGCGCCGGCGUGGGGGCCAGGGCGAGGGGCGGCGCCACCACGGUCCGCAUCGUCGCAGACGGGACGGGGCGCCCGGCUCCCCAGCCGCGCUUGCUCGUCCACGAAAUGGGCGGAAAUGAAGUCUCCCCACCGGGGUGCGCCCGGGGGCGUUGCUUUCUUUCCUUCUUCCGCCUCCUUCCCUAGACCCCCGGCCAUCCCCGGCUCCUGGGGGACCCCACGGCACCUCUCACAGACCCCGCGGCCUAGAGGCGUGGCCACACCACGUGGGCAGACUGUCACUCACACACACACACACACACACACACCCAGCGCCCCAGGGACGUGUCCGCCUCCUGGACCCCCAACGCGUCCCCCCAGGCCCCGGGGACUGACAGCGCCCCACGGAGGCCCUCGAAGGCUGAGGCUCUGUGUCCCCCUAGACGAGGCCGCGGUCCAGCCCGCCGCUCCUGAGCUCGUCCCUUACCGGCUCUUCCUCUCGACCCCUCCCGGCCGUGCCCGACGGAGGGGCCCACCUCUCACUGCCUCUUUGUGAUCCAAGCGGCGUUUCUGGCCAUUUGGGUUUGAUGCGUCUUUUCCCAAGUUUUCUUAACUUUUUUGAAUGACCUUUCCAUCAGGACUCAAGUCUGAGACAAAGGAACAAGCUACAUAAAACUUCAGGCCGUCUCUUCUUCCCUGGAGUUGGCCAUAUCGCCUGCGUUUCUGUCCUUCAGUGAGAAGGGCUCUGUGAGCCACACAGAGCAGUUGAGCGUGUCUCAUCUCAUGCAAUCCUCACAACCACCCCGCCAGGCGCGCGCGAGGCUGGCAGUUCGUGGGUGAGGCUGCCGGACUCUCAGAGGGGCCCAGCCAGGGCUGGUUGGAACAAGCUCUGGCUUGUGACCCGGGUCCUCGCCUCCCACCGCCUCAGCUGCCCCCCUCGGCUGCUGGCCUCUUCCCUGGGGGCAUUUGCUGUGUCUGAAAGCAGGUGUGGGCAGCAUCAACGUUGUGUAAGGCUGCUAACCCGGCCUACAAGCCCCAUGCUGGCUUUCUGCCCUUGAGCUCUUCAUCCCUCAGCCCCUUUCCUUGGGCAGAAAUCGCUCCGUGUCCGGUGGAUCAGCUCAUUCACGAUUUGGCCUCCAUGUUCCCUCUGUUCUGGAAUUGCUCCGGCCCCACCUAGGGUGUGAUUCCAGAACCAGCAGCAGCGCCAGCGCGGGGGGAACCUGUUGGAAAUGCAAAUUACCAUGCCCACCCCACUGCUGAGUGGGACUCUCUGGCGGGCGGGGCUCAGCAAUCUCUGCUUCAACAUGCCUUCCAGGAGGCCAAGACCUGACAGACUGAGGUGAUAACAAGGAAAAAGAAAAGCUGUCGAACCACACCACUCAUCUGUCAGUAGCCAGGCUGUGGCAGCGGUCAUCCUUCUGGGACCUCCUAGGCUCUCUGGGGGCAGGACUCUGGCUGUAUGGUGAUAGAAGAUCGCUAUGAUGAAGGUCAACCUUGUGGAUGAUACUUUUUUGCUGGGCCAAUUACUUUGCAUAAAGCCGGAAAAUGAUUCAUCUGUGUAGUCCAGCUUAGCAGGUCCUCAGCAGAGAACACCUUUAGAAAGCGACGGAGAGGGUGAAAUCGAUUUUCCUAUGAGGGUAUACAUUUCUGCGUCCUCACCAUAUGCAGUUGGAUGAGUUAUAAGCACACAUGCCCAUUACUUCUAUUCAGUUUGACACACUUAGAAUAAAUGGCCAGGCUUUA